UACGUAGGGUCCGAGCGUUGUCCGGAAUUACUGGGCGUAAAGAGCUCGUAGGUGGUUUGUCGCGUUGUCCGUGAAAACUCACAGCUCAACUGUGGGCGUGCGGGCGAUACGGGGCAGACUGGAGUACUGCAGGGGAGACUGGAAUUCCUGGUGGUAGCGGUGGAAUGCGCAGGAUAUCAGGAGGAACACCGGUGGCGAAGGCGGGGUCUCUGGG
rnacentral:rRNA from 1 species